rnacentral:rRNA from 1 species
GACGAACGCUGGCGGUGUGCUUAACACAUGCAAGUCGAACGGUAAGGCCCUUUCGGGGGUACACGAGUGGCGAACGGGUGAGUAACACGUGAGUAACCUGCCCUCAUCUCUGGGAUAACAGUCGGAAACGGUUGCUAAUACUGGAUAUGAGCUUGCAAGGCAUCUUGUGGGUUGGAAAGAUUUUUUUUGGUUGGGGAUGGACUCGCGGCCUAUCAGCUUGUUGGUGAGGUAGUGGCUCACCAAGGCUUCGACGGGUAGCCGGCCUGAGAGGGCGACCGGCCACAUUGGGACUGAGAUACGGCCCAAACUCCUACGGGAGGCAGCAGUGGGGAAUAUUGCACAAUGGACGGAAGUCUGAUGCAGCAACGCCGCGUGCGGGAUGACGGCCUUCGGGUUGUAAACCGCUUUCAAUUGUGACGAAGCUUUUUUGUGACGGUAGCAGUAGAAGAAGCACCGGCCAACUACGUG